rnacentral:rRNA from 1 species
UUUGCCAGCGGGUUAAGCCGGGAACUUUAAGGAUACUGCCGGCGAAUAGCUGGAGGAAGGAGGGGAUGAUGUCAAGUCCUCAUGGCCCUUAUGUCCGGGGCGUACACACAUGCUACAGUGCCCAGUACAAUGGGUCGCCAACCCGCAAGGGGAGGCCAAUCCCAUCAAAACGGGGACGAUGGUUCGGGAUUGCAGGCUGCAAUUCGCCUGCAUGAAGCCGGAAUCGCUAGUAAUCGCGGGUCAGCCACACCGCGGUGAAUACGUACUCGGGGCUU